rnacentral:tRNA from 1 species
AGGGGUGUCGCUCAGUGGUAGAGUGCAUGUCUGGCAUGCAUGGUACGUACCAUGGGUUGAUCCCCAGCACUACUA